rnacentral:rRNA from 1 species
UACGGAAGGCAGCAGUGGGGAAUAUUGCACAAUGGGCGCAAGCCUGAUGCAGCCAUGCCGCGUGUAUGAAGAAGGCCUUCGGGUUGUAAAGUACUUUCAGUCGUGAGGAAGGUGUUAAGGUUAAUAACCUUAGCAAUUGACGUUAGCGACAGAAGAAGCACCGGCUAACUCCGUGCCAGCAGCCGCGGUAAUACGGAGGGUGCGAGCGUUAAUCGGAAUUACUGGGCGUAAAGGGCACGCAGGCGGUUAAUUAAGUUGGAUGUGAAAUCCCCGGGCUUAACCUGGGAAUGGCAUUCAAGACUGGUUAGCUAGAGUCUUGUAGAGGGGGUAGAAUUCCGAUGUGUAGCGGUGAAAUGCGUAGAGAUGUGGAGGAAUACCGGUGGCGAAGGCGGCCCCUGGGACAAAGACUGACGCUCAUGUGCGAAAGCGUGGGGAGCGAAACAGGGAUUAGAUACC